UUAUCCUUAACACUACAAGAAAAGUCAUAUACAUCCAUGCUUUUUAGUCAUGUAAAGUACAUAUGUGGGUAAACGGUCAAAUUUUGAAAAAAAAAGGUUGUAUAUACCCAUGUUUGUCAAACGUGAAAAUGCUAUAAUUAAUUUUUAACUUAUGUUUCAAUGAUUAAAUGUAAGUAAAUCAAAUCUACUAAUAGAUAAAUGUGGGUAACUUAAAUCUGCUAAAAAAUAUACUAAGUAUUAGUGAAAAGUGACUGGCGCCA
rnacentral:lncRNA from 1 species